rnacentral:rRNA from 1 species
CCUACGGGGGGCAGCAGUGGGGAAUUUUGCGCAAUGGGCGAAAGCCUGACGCAGCAACGCCGCGUGUGUGACGAAGGCCCUAGGGUUGUAAAGCACUGUGGGAAGGGAAGAAAAAACGGGGGUUGUACCCCGUCUUGACGGUACCUUGUUAGAAAGCACCGGCUAACUCCGUGCCAGCAGCCGCGGUAAUACGGAGGGUGCAAGCGUUUUGCGGAAUUAUUGGGCGUAGGGGGCUUGCCGGUGGCUUGCCGAAAGCCCACGGCUCAACCGUGGAACUGCAUUGGAAACUGGCAAGCUCGAGUGUGGGAGGGGGUCGCGGAAUUCCCGGUGUAGAGGUGAAAUUCGUAGAUAUCGGGAGGAACACCAGUGGCGAAGGCGGCGACCUGGCCAAUCACUGACACUGAGACGCGAAAGCGUGGGGAGCAAACAGGAUUAGAUACCCGAGUAGUC